AUCUAAGGAAGAUGUAAGAGGGUAAAAUUAUGAAGAUAAAUGCAAUUACCUGGGGAACCUGGACAAAAUUUUACCCCCUACCUGUGGUCCUGAGAUCCACACAGCCAGUCAAUCAACGGGCUCCAUCUGAAGGAACAUGAGGCAGGAGGCGGGAAGGUGAAGGAAGAAAGAAGAAACAGAUCACACUGGUCCCCGCCCUGGUCACCAAGGCACACGUAAGCCUGCUCUGAGGGAACGAGAGAAGCUUUAAAUUAUAUGUCAUCUUGAAGUUUGAAAAAGGACAGAAUGAGGCUUUUGAAUGCCUGAAAGGGACUCUACAUUGUCAAAAAGGAGUAAAAGAGAUUGGACAGCUAUGGAACCUGCCCAAGAUGUCAUCGAGAGGCAAAGAAGGGAAAUGAGAUAAAGCAUGAAGGAAAUGGUAAGAGGACAAUAAAGCCAUUUCCUGCUUAUACUCUAC
rnacentral:lncRNA from 1 species